CCAGAGGAGGGAAGAGCAGGUCCUCACUUUUCUCUGAGCCUGCAUGUUUCCGGCUCAGAAGUGGGGCUAGCCAAAGCCCCUCUAGGGUCGUGCCUCUCCACAGGGGACUUCUGCAGCCCUUAGUUUUCCAGAGACAGGCUGCGGGCUCCAACAGUGAGAAUUUUAACAUGACCUUGUUUCAUUCAGCAUGAAUCUACCAUUUCAGCCCAUGGGGAUGACACCUUUCUGGCGGGAGAGCUCCUUUCUGGUUGACCUCCCUGCCCGGGUUCGCCUUUGUGUUUACCAUCGUGAGGAUGCCACCUGAAAGCAUUUUCACCACUUGGGGCUCCACAGAGGGAAGCAGAGGUUGAGGGCCUGGAGACCACGCACUGAAACCACCCGCUGUGUGGAGGAAGGGUCCGAGGCACUGGGACGAGGAAAGGCAGGGAGAGGUGAUUCCUGUCCCAACACAGGUCAUACCCGGGCCGGAUCCCGGGUGGAAGCGGCGGGCAGUGCCUCGGCUAGGCUGCCAGCUGCCAUUCGGCUUCAGCAAACCAGUAUUCUCUGCCUCACUGUCAAUAUCAUUAAUUUAAAAGUUAGGUUUUGUAGUGCUGAUUGUCGUUGUCUAUAUUUAAUCUGGAACUUGCUGAUUCUACAACGGCAUGAGGACCUCUACUUAGUAUUAUGAUAGUCCAUAUUAAAGCAACGGUACGAUAAAAAUCAGUGAAACCACCAUUUGUGCCUGGGGAGCACCACACACACCACCUUCCCCCUUGAAGGGGCUGCAUGUUCCUCAAAUCUGAGAAGCGCUACCCUGGUGAUUUCCCUGGCCCCGUGCACUCUCACGGUUCGUGAGCCCGUGCAAGGGCCAUCAGGGGGAUGGGAUUUUCUACUGAACUUGGGCUAAGAUAGGGCCAUUUUACACUAAAUAACCGUGUGUGUGUGUGUGUGUGUGUGUGUGUGUACUUGGGGUUUGGUGGGAUCAGAAUCUCGCAGGGGGCUUGUUAACACACACAGGGCUGCCCGCCCCCCCAGGUUCUGAUACAGUCCAUCUGGGAUGGGGCCCCAGCAUGUGCAUUUCAAACAAGUCCCCAGGUGAUGCUGAUGGCCCAGGACCACACUCAGAGAUCCAGAAACUGUUCCACAGUAAUACUUUUAACCCCAAGUAAUAGUAAGAUGCAUAGACCUGUGGGCUGGGAGGUGGGAGUCAGACCAAGUCGGCCUCUUCCAGACUUACUCUGGAACCCGGGCUAAGCCCUCGGCCUCUCUGGACUCUGUCCUUCCUGUUCAUACAACAAGAGUUUGGACAAGUCCAGUGCCUCACCCAGAAGCAAGCGUGAGACCUGGAGCCUGGUUUGCCAUGGAGUCUACAGCCCGGGUGUUUGAUCUGGGAGACAUCAUGUCCACGCAGGGUGCACGGGACCGGAGGGCAGUGGCAUCUGAGCUCCCGCUUUGGGCAGGCAAGCUGGCAGCAACAGGAGGGCACACUCCCGCUUCAACUCCCAGCUCCCAAGCAAGAGACUCGUCUCCAGGCUCGGGUUCCUCACCUUUGAAGCGGACGUGCUCGUCCUCGGGCAGCAAGGCCCCGAGAGGCUGCUCCUGGAAAGCACCUGGAGCGCAUGGGCGUCCUCAGACACAUCUGAGCACGGCACCCACACCAGGCCAGCUGACCGUGGCUCCCAGCCACCUUGGGAGGGGGUGCUUAUCACAGUUCCACCCCCAAGGUCUUCCUCAGGAUAAUCUGUCCAGGCCGAUUCACCUCGUGGGCGGGGCCCUUCCUCUGAGGCCUGAAAUAUCUCCCUCCCUUCACUGUGCCUGGGUCAGGCCUGUGACCCUCGCCACGUGACUUCCUCUGGGGACUGGCCCUGGGCCCCUGCCCGCCUGCCAGCCCUCCAGUCCCUGGCUAGUGACCCAUUCUGGGCCUGACAUAUCAGGCAGGGCUCAGCCGGGGAGGAGGAAGCCCACAGCUUGUUGUGCUGGGGAAAAAGUGCAUCCCCACGUCCGGCCCCCACCCCAGCGCAGCCACACCUCUGCCUUCAGCGGGCUGGGCUUCCGCCCCACAUCCUGGCAGGGCCUGGCGGGUUAUCACCCAGCUGCCACGUGGUGCCCUGUCCCUCAGGUCCACACAUGCUCAGAGAAGCUUCUGGGCUGGGGCAGAGGGGUUGCCCGGGGUACCCCUCAACUUUAUGGAAGCCGCCUUUCUCUGGAGCCAAGGACAGCUCUUUGGAGAAAGUGAAGAGAUAUGGAUACACAUCCCAGCUCCACUGUGGACUUGCUGUGUGACUUUGCGCAAAUGAAUCUACCUCUCUGGAUCUUCAUUUCCUUGAUUUUAAAUAGAAAAAUACCUCCAUCUCCAGUUGUGAGGAUUAAAUAAGAUUAUGCAAGUAUAUUGAUGCCCGGGCUUUACUUCCAACCGACUAAAUCAGAAUCUCUGAGGGGUAGGUCCCAGGCAUUGGGGGCAGCCAGGAACAGAAACCACUGGUGUGGAAGCGUUCAGAGAAGCUAAAGCUUUGGUGUAGACCAACAUGGGUUUGACUCCUGGCUCUGCUAUACAAUUACGGGACCUGAAUAGGCUAUUAGCCCCUCAGAACCUCCACUUACUCGUCCCUAUGAUGGGGAUACUACUACUCACUUCUCAGUGCCAUUAUGGACACUGGAGUCACAGAUAUCAGGUGCUUUGCAUGUACGAGACCCAAGCGAGCCGUGUGAGGACAGACCCUUGUCUAUUUAUUUCACCACUGUGCACUCAACAGCUAGCUGUGCGCCUGACCCACAGUUUGCACUGCCAACAAAUAUCUAUAAAGCAAUAAAUGUAGCUGUUAUCAUUAGUGUAGAUUAAAAAGUGAUGAAGAAAUAGCACUUAUCAUGAACAUGAAGCUCCUGUCUUUUGACAGACUUUAAAAACUACAUUUCCCAGCAUCAUUUGCAGCCAGGAGUGGCCGCAACUCUGUUCUGGCCCACCAGGCGUAGGUGGAAGUCACUGGGCUUUUAGUCCCUUGGGUUUUCCCUUCUUCCCCAUCCUCUGGCCGCAAUUGUGAGAAAACAAGAAUGGAAAAUAAGAAGGAUCCUGGGUCAUGCCAUUGCAGCCCAGACUGCCCACCUCUGGGCUUUCUUUUCUUUUCGCCAACGGAAAGGAAAAUGAGCUUCUCAGUGUUUAGGCCCCUGCUUGGGAAUUUUUGUUUCUGGUAGAAGGAAAGCAGAUGCUUUGGGCUUCCUCACUGUCCCACUUGCUGUCCACAGUCCUCAGGCUCCAGAUCAAUCUGGGACAAGAAGACAAGCAGCCUGUCACUAAUUCCCUCCAAGGACCUCUGGGGCUGGGUCAGAGGCACCACAGGAAGCCUGCCCAGCUCUGAAUCUGGCCCCUGGAGGAAGAGUUAGCCCUGUGUCCUGUCCAAGCUCCUCUGGCCUCCCCAGAAGGUUCCAGAAGAGAGAGUGACUUGCUCCUUAUCCAGACGCCAAGCCCUGAGUCCAAAAGCCCACGAUUCCUCGGUACCGUCUCUGAGUCUUCACUCCUGCACUGAUCAGUCACGGGCAAAGUGUCUUUGAACGAGCCUCAGUGCUCACAUUUGUAAACUGGGGCUACGCCAACCAAGAGCUAAAUCUAACCAAGGAACUCAGAGAGGGGAAAGCCAAGAUGACAGGACUAGAGGUGAGCAAUGCUUCCAAAUUAACCCAGAACUCGGACCAAGCAUCCAACGGAAGGGAGGUGGCAGUACAUGUGCAGAUUCUGGACCUUGGCAUUACAAAACCAGCCCAACCCAACAGCAGAAUGUUGGGCGUGGGCACGGAAGAGAGUGUGAAGGACUUUUGCCCCAUCCUUCAUGAUAGGGAAAAAUAGAGCUAAGAGCGAAACAUGUAAUUUAAGAAAAUAAAUGACCUUCAACCUCCUAAUGUUCUUCACAAUCUUGGGGGCAGGGGUCUUGCAGGAAAUAUCUCUUGUGGUAACAAAACAAAGUUAGCAACCGCUCUUACUCACUUAAAUUCUUUUCCUUUUGUUAAAUCCAAGCAUAAAGAAGCUCCAUAUAUUUUAUUUUAAAAUUUAGAAUGUAGUGUGAUCCCACUUUAUAAAAUUGCAUCUUUUCUUUCCUUCCUUCCUUCUCCCCUCCCUUCCUUCCUUCUCUCCUCCCUUCCUUCCUUCUCUCCUGCCUCCUGCCAUAGAACUAGAAAGAUACUUGGGAUGAUGUUGCCUAAUAUUCAUCCUGGGUAUUUGGGGUACUAGAAUUUACAGAGAUUUCCCACCACCCUGCCGCCAUUUUUGCAGCAUUUUGCUGUAUAGCUUGAAUUCUUUAUAAAAGCAUUUAGCAUUUUUAAUGAGGGAAAUAAAAUCAUUUUCCAAAAAAUUAAUAACACGUAUUUUUGUAGGGUUUUUGUGAGCAUCAAGUAAGAUGACCAGGAAAGCCCCUGGCAGAGUGUGGCAAGCAGAAUUCUGAAAGGACCCCAACCUCCCUGCCCUGUGAGGGACAUGCCCUGUGCUUGCUGCUCCUACCUGGAAGGAAGGUCGUUUCCUUCCGUUUGGCAAGUUUCUAUUCAUCCUUCAAAACCUACUGCAAUGGGAAGCAUUUCCUGACACCUCCCCCAUUAAGCAGACCCUCUCUCGGGACACACAGAGUCUGAGAGUGACAGCCCAGUCAGACAUAGGACAGGGCUGGAGUGCCUUCACACAGCAGCAGUGUCCAGGGGGAGUGUUCAGAGACAGCCCAGCUUCCUCUUUGCUGACUUUUGUCUUCAGGCUUCCCUUCAUCCGCUAUCUCCCCCGUAUCUUUCCAACAAUUGUUUUUAUUUAAAUUGGCAAAUUCAGUUUGUGCAGCCCGCAACUCAAGGAUCCAGCUACUGCCCUGUGUCGGUUGAGUUCCAGGCUCAUAAAGGUGUGGGGAAGAGUCUCAGUUACGCUCAGGGUCAUUCGAAGCGGCUCCCCUUCCCCCACUCCAGCCUUCCGAAGCACGGGGGCUGGAGCAGACAGGGUGCAGCCUCGCUCUGAGGUGUCUCGGGCUGGAGGGCAGGGCGAGCACAGCCCGUUCUUGUUUGCCAAGGAGCCCUGCCCGUGUCACGGAGAGGAAACGGCCCGGGGCGUCUAGCCGACCUGCUGGAAGCCGCGCAGCCAGAGAGAAGCAGAGGGCCAGGUCACCUGCAGACACGCCCGCCCCUGCGGUCCUCUGCGAUCCCCAGAGGACGCAGCCCGGGGCUCUCCUCUGCGUGCACACUCUGCUGAGCUCCGCACGUGCUCCCCGGCCCCCUCGUGCUCCCAGCAGCCCCGGGAGAGCGGGAUCAGCAGCAGCUUCAUUUUGCAUAUGGAGAGGCUGAGACUCAGAGGGGAGAGGCCCGCCCCAAGGUCAUCCAGUCGCGAUGUGGGGGCUUGGACGCGACGCCAAGUGCUCCAGAUGCUCGAGCCCGGGACCCUCCCUCAGCCUCCGCGAUGACGGAAACCCUGAGAGAGGCCCGUGGGGUCGUGUGGGACAGACUCCCCCAGGGCAGGCCGGUGGGUGACGGGUUGGCAGGUGCAGGGGCGCUUGGUAGGUGACUGAAGAAGGGAGCGAGGCGGGCCUGGUGGAGCCGAGCUGUGCCGGACACAACCCGAAGCUACAAACGACCAAGCAGCGAGGCCAGGCGACCGGGCGAAUCUACCCUAAAAGCCCGCUGAAACAGGCGAAGCAGGUGGGCCAAGCGCCGGGAAGCGGGGCCGAGUGGCGCCGAACGGAACCGGGCGGGGACGAACGGGGCCGAGUGAAGCCGAGUGGAACCGAACACGGCCGAGCGGAAGCGAGCCGGGCCGAGCCGGUGGGCCGAGUGGAGCCGAGUGGAGCCGAGCGGAGCCGAGCGGGCGGGCUCUGCAGAGGCCAUAGGAGCGUGUGGCCGUGAGGCUGCCCUGGAUGUUCUAUGGUGCGUCGCCUCUGGACUCGCCGUUCCGCACCAACUGAAAAGCAGGGCGCUUGGUUUCCCGAGCCUGUGAAGUAGCCUCAACAGUCUUUUCCUGUGGGGGCCUCAGUCUCCCCAUUUGUACGUACUGAUUAGCACCAAAGGGCUGACUGUGGCAUAGCUGUUGGUCACCAGCACGUGGACGUGUUGACGAACUGAGUCAUUGUCCCACCACAUUUCUAAGGAGACGGAGGAAUCCCUAGAGUGGGCCUAAAUGCUGUAGAAUAUGCAUCUCCUGCGUAAGAAGACCCCAGACCCUUCAUGAGACAGAACACACAUCUCGGAAACGAGCUGGCCGCAUUUUGCCUUCUGUGACUGAGGACAUCCCGAUUCAAUCUGCAAUUUUCCUGCUCAGAACCACAGCAUUUAGAAACCCAAACCUGGCUGUGAGGUCCAUCCACUGAUAUUAGGGUGCCAUUGCUUUUAGCUAUUUUCAGUAGACAGAGCUAAGAGACAUAUUUUAAAUGGGUUUUCAUUUGCGUGUAACAUUACGUGGCUUUGUAGACUUCAUUGUCUUUUACACCAGGCCCCAGCAAUUUUGCAUCAGUGGGAGGGGCCUUAGAUUUGUUUGCCAUGAUUGACACCUGAUGAACAACCCAGGCUCAUUUGGCUUUGGAAAUUAAGAACUACACCCUAAAAGGUUUUCAUCCAGAUGUUGCUUGUUUACCAUUUCCUGAGAAUGAAAGGAGUAUCCGUCUUCUCCUCUGGGGACUGCCUUUGCCCUGUGAGAAGACAGGUGUUGUCAGACUUUAGAUGCAACGGCAAAAUUACUGGUCUACCGAGAGAUGAGCUAAAGGCGUCUUGUCUAUACAAUCAGAUCUUGUAGCCUGAACUCAGAUACGCUGACUCCCUGCAAAGAUCCAGCUGGGAAAGUGUCUCGACUGCUCAGAUUUGGAAAAUCUCAGUGGCAGAGGCUGUGGGCCAGGAGGCGGAGCAGGCUCCCAGGCAGGUGGGGAAGAAGGCAGUUUAAGUCCUGACUUUUACUAAAUCAUAACCAGAACACAGACAUUUAUUUUGAACGUGCUGCAGAACUUCCUUGCACUUUCAUAGCAUUAUUAUUUAAUGACUCAUAUCUUAAACGAGUGAUUUUUCUUGAAUAAAGACUCACGUAAGUAAAAAUAUUUCAAAAAGCCAGCGAUUCCUAGGUUUACAUUCAUUUCUAUGACAAAUUUGUUUAUAUCCUGUUUUGGUAAUUCACAAGCUCAAAGAUAUACCUGAAAUACUAAAAAUUCUAUUUAAUAUAAUCUUAUUUUUAGUAUAAUUUCAAAUAAAAUGUGUAGUAUAUAUUUACAUGAAAAUGGCGUUGCAUUCCUUUAAAAUAUAGUUGGCUACAGUAUAUCAGAAUGACUUAGUCUUCCUUCUCACUAUCACAUAUGUAUUCUUUUAAAUUUAGGCACAUUUUAUACUUUUAAAAACAUUCUAGGGAUGUAAGGAGACACUAAAAUAGUAGAAUAAAUGUAAAUUUGUGAUAAAAUAAGGCAUGGUAUUUUCCUGGCUUGGCAGAGUGAUAUCAUUGUGGAUCACCACCGCGGCCAUUAUCUGGCUACAAUUUACCUCUCCUUACAUUAGAGAACAUUUUUUCCUUGCUGUCUGACAUACACCUGGAAUGACCAUCUUCUCUCAGCCAAUCAAGUAACAUUAGAGUUAUUCUUUACUAACAUAAUCAUGGAGGAGAGGAUAUAGAAUUUAAUUCCAGCUAUCAUUUUAGAAUAUUUUAUUAUAUUAAAUUUACUAAAGCCUCUAGAACUAAAGACGAGAAAUUUCUUCGUUGUAGUUUCACUGAAUUUUCUGUGAUAAGUAAAAGAAGUUCAUAAUAAUUUAGAGAAAAUAUUUUAUAUUUUGAUCAACAAUAUCUUAUCUUCUAAAGGAUUUUUCACUGCUCCUUCCUCCCAAAUUUCAAAUGAUGAUGUUCUCAUUGAGAACUUUCCUCCCAAAAUAUUUGCCAAGUAAAAUUUUAAUCCAUUCAUUGAAUUAUCACAAAUUUCAAAUUUGGGGUGUAUCUAUAGGGUAAGUUAAAUCUGUUGUCCAGUAAUUAAGUGCUUUUGAAGGAGAAGAAAGUGAUGACAGUGUCAUCAUAAUGGAGACUCUUCCUUUCCUGGAUCACAAAUAUCUAACAACAUAAUGUGGGCAAACGUGGACAGAUUUAUUGGCGGAGACGCGAAGGCGUGGGCUACCACUCCUGAACAGCUAAGUGUCUUUCAGGGCUUGAGUGAAUGCGCUGUAAGAAACAGCUUAGGUAAAGGACGUCCUGGUAUCAUUCAAAUAGUGGCCCCAUGACUGGGAAAACUUCUAGAUGUUCUUAAACUUAUUCAUGGCAGAAUAUCCUCUCUCCUUGUUGGUGAUGUGUGUGCCGGCUGCAGUUACGAAGCAGAAUGUGCCAGGUCAAAUUUGACUGGUCCUGUUACAAUGCCUGGACCGUGAUCUUAAAUACUUGGUUCUCCUGGAAACUGGCUGCUGCGUUGCACUUGCUGUGAGAAUGUGUGUGACCUGUUCCCUCUGCUGAGAUGCAAAACAAUUGGCAAGUUGUCUGGUAAAAAGUCCCACUCGUUCUUUGCUACAAAAACAUCUCCAGACUUGAUGUUUGGGUUUCCAGCUAAAUUUCACAUCAUAUUUAUGAUAGAGUUCCUCUGGUUUUCCCAUCUCCCAACUCUGCAGUACCAUUUUCUGUCCUCCUACUUCUUCACCAGACACAUAUAAAUGCCUUGGGUAGUAAAUAUUGCAGUAGCAAGGAAGAAUGUCAGCUCCACCUUUCACUGGAUUCAGCUUCAUUUGUUUAAUCCGAAGGUGUGUCGUGUUCUCAUCCUAGUCACGUGGCAUCUAUAUCUUGCACGGAGGGCAUGUUUGGCCUCCCUUGGCUGUGCCACUUGUGUCUUUAUUUCUCUCAAUGGUUUGGGCAUUGAUUUCAUGAGCGUUAUGUCCAGGACAUGGUCUCAAUAUCUCUGAUUUCCCUUAGAAAUGUAUAUUGAUAAAACUAGAGAGUUAUACUAGAUUUUCAGAGUUGUUAUUCUAUCAUUUUGGCUGUUCACAGGGAGAUUCUGAGGGGAAAUAUGAUCACUUUCACAGUGUUAUAAAGAUCAAAAAUGCUAAGGCAUAGAUUAUAUUAAAGAAAUUGAGUAAAAGGCCUGAAUUCAGGUCAUGACCCUUCACUGUGAUUCCUAACAUGUCCCACAGAACUCUGGGUAAAUAUUAAAGAUCAAUUACAGGGGACUCGAAGGCAUAGGUUCCCUCUCCUGAGGGUGAGUGAACACCCUGCAGGAAACAUCUUCAGUAAAGCACGCCCGGCGCCAUUCAGUGGUGGAGGCAUUGUCUCUAACCCACAGGUCUGAGAAAAGGUGAACAUUAAAUGUGGCAUUUCUUACUACUGGUCAUUGAGAAGGAGACCCUGUCGGAUAUCUCCAUUUUCCUGGAGUGGGUUGUGAAUGGGGGAAACAUCCAGAGCUAUAUUCUGGGGACGCUGGAAAAUAAAAAAAGCUAGAAUACUGCCGGGGUGCGAGGAUCAGUUUGUCAAAGGAGGCCGAUGUUAUGGUAGUCAUUUCUUCUCAGCUGUGAAAUCCUUAAUAUACUACGUUAACUCUCUCAAGCCAAAGUUAGGUGGUGAUAAAUAAUAAAUUGAUAAUCAACACUUCUAUAACGCCUCAUAUAUGAGGCAUUUUCUAAAUGCUUUUCAUAUUUACUCACGCAUCCUCCACCUACGCUAUGAUAGAAGGACUGUUACUGUCCCCCUUUCACUCCUGAUGUUAACUGAGACAAAAGUAUGUAAGUGAGUUGACAGUGCUCACCCAGCUGGAAGGGGUGGAAUCUAGGUUUAAACAAAGGCCAUGUGGAUCUAGGGUACGAACCAUGAAACCCCUCCUGGAUUCUGCACUUCUAUAAAUAAAUCCUGAGAAUGGUCUUGUUGGGAUUAACUGGAAGAUUCUUAUUUCCACUCACCAAAAAUCGACAUCGACAGGCUUUAGUGGACAACUCUUAGGAAUGCAGCAGUGUGCCAAAUACUGUGGAUCCAAAUACAAAUAAGACAGCAUCUCUGCUCGUGAGGAAUUUGCAGAGGAGACAGAAGAGUAAACAAAAGCUCCCCAUUAAACCCGGUGACGUGCGCCAUAAAGGAAAGCGUUGGCGCCACAGGCUCACAGAGCAGGGCGUGAUGUGAGGGCCACUGGGAGGCAAAGGGAGUACACAAAAGUGAUUUCCUUGGAGGAAUGAAUGAUGUUGAGUUGAAAUUUAAAUGCUGAAUAAGAGCAAGUCAUAAUUAUAUAGAAUUAUUUUAGCUAAAGUGGUGAUUCCAGAGAUUGAAAAGUGUGAUGCAAGCACGUCAAUGAAAACACUGCUGUUGUCAGAAUCUCAUUUUUCUUUCCAGAAAUAUAUUAUUUGCUUUAACGUUCCCAUGGAGAUGAACAAAUAUUCCAGUUAUAUUGCCAUAAAAAGUGCCUUUUAUCCCCAAGUUGGCUUUGGGAUCUCAGCAAACACCUUUCUCCUUUUCCUCCACAUGUCAAUUUUCCUUGUGGGACCCACGCCCAAGCUCACUGACCUCCCAUCACUCACUUGGCUAUAAUACAUAUAAUGAUGCUCCUCACCAUGGGCUUCUUGGUGUCUACGGACAUUUGGGGGGCACAGGGUAUUCAGAGUGACUUCAAAUGUAAGGCGAUUGUCUUCCUUAACAAGGUACUGAGGGUUCUCUCCAUUUGUACCGCCCGCCUCUUGAGUGUGCUUCAGGCCAUCGCCAGCAGCCCCAGCAGCUCCAGGCUGGCUAAAUUCAAACCUAAAUCUCCAAAUCCCAUCCUAUGUUUAUUUCCCUUCUCAUGGGUCCUGAACGUGUCAUCUGUAGCAACCUGCUCCUCUACACUGUGGGCGCGCCCAGUGAGACCCAGGCUAGUCUUCUGGUCCUCACUGAGCGCUGUUCCUUUUCACCCAUGAGCUACAUCCACAGGGGCCUGUUUUUCACACUGAUGGCAUUCAGGGAUCUCUUCUUCAUGGGGCUUAUGGUCCUGUCGAGUGGAGACAUGAUACUUCUCUUCCAGACAUAAGCAGCGGUCCCAGCAUCUUCACAGCAAAAGCCUCUCUCCAAGAAACUCCCCAGAAAUAAGGAUGGCUCAGAUGAUUCUGCUGCUAGUGAUUUGUUUUGUGGUCUCAUAUUGUGUGGACUUCAUCAUUUCGUCUUCCGUAGGCCUGACAUGGACAAACGACCCAAUCCUGGCCUAUAUGGUUAGACCGAUGGAUCAGAAGAGAGAGCCAAGAAGCUGAUCCAGCCGUCGGUGUGGACUUGGUGUGUGACGGCGGAGGCAUGGUAAAUCACUUGGCAAAUAUGGGGGAACAAUUGGCAUCCACGUGGAAAAACCUACCUUGCAAAUGGUCCAAAAUAAAUUCAAGGGAUCUUUGUUUCCCUUUUUACCUUUUUAAUUUGGGAAAUGAAUAUGUUAAAGAAUAAUAAUAAUUAUUAUAUUAAAUAGGAUUAACCUUACUAAAACCACCACUCGGCUUGUAAAAAAUGGGAAUCUAUUCCUAUAUUUGAAGCCCAUCUAUCUUUCUCUGAACGCAUUAAACCAAAAAACGCUUCUCCAAAAUGAAUCGCUAUCUUGAUUGUUGUAACCAUUUUCCUUGCUUUCCAUUUUAAAGUUGUUGGCAUAUAUGUCUAUAAGUAUUUGCAGGGUCAUGCUUACUCAGCAAUAACUGCCCUUUAAGAGCCUGUGCCCCUCUGGCCCCUCAUGGGCAGGACGCCAAACUUCUGGGCAGGGCACCCAGCUGCUGGGAUUUGUAAGGAUCCGGGGCCUGGCCAGCCCGGAUGUCAACUUAUCACUCAAAGAACAUCACAAAGGAACACAGAGCCCUUCCACGUGAACCAUUCCUGGGGACGCUGGCCAUACCAGGCAUGGCCCCUCUUGGCAAGCACAUAGCCUUUGUGCCCCCGGCCUAUGUAAGCAAGCUCCUCCCUGCCCGCAGUAGCAGUGCACAACCCCAUCCAGCCAGCUGUCCCGGACACUCCCCGUAUGUAAGUCCCAAUAAAUCUUAUGUCUCGUAGCUGCUCCAGAUCUUUGCUUCGGUCUCUCUGCAACCUGUCCUGCACUGCUUGCACAACUGGGCACAGCCACACUAAAUGUCAUUAAGGUAGUUCAUUCAUUUCACAGUGUAUAUGCACGGAAUCAUUCUAUUUUCAUUCCUAGUGACUUGCUCCCCAGGCAAAGCCUUCUGUUCAUAGGAUUAUCCUUGUUGAUUAAUGAAGCUAUGAUCCAUCAGCACUUCCAUGGAAUGACAUCAUAUGAAUAUAACGUGUUUUUCCAAUCUUCUGUCUAUGCGCCUGUAACAAGGCUCCUCUGAACAUCACUCUAGAUGUUUCCCGGUCACAUGUGCAAUAUCUUCCCUGGGGCACAUACCUUUGAGAGUAUUUGCUUGUUCUGAAAUUAUACCUGUGCUGAUUUAUAUUAGUUUAUGCCAAAUUUUUUCCAAAUAUCUCUAUAAAUUUGCCUCCCAUACCUGCAAUGUGUACGAGUUUUCAUUCUAGCCAACACCGUGAUCAAAGCUUUUAAGUUUUGUCAAUCUGCUGAGUUUGAAAUUGUACCUUAUUUUAUUUUUGAUUUUGUAUUUCUCUGGUUAAUAAUGAAGAUGGGCUGGCCCCGUGGCCGAGCGGGUAA